UACGUAGGUGGCAAGCGUUGUCCGGAAUCAUUGGGCGUAAAGAGCGCGUAGGCGGCCAGAUAAGUCCGGUGUGAAAGUCACAGGCUCAACCUGUGAAUGCCGCUGGAAACUGUCUGGCUAGAGUCCGGAAGGGGCGAGUGGAAUUCCUGGUGUAGCGGUGAAAUGCGCAGAUAUCAGGAGGAACACCAAUGGCGAAGGCAGCUCGCUGGGACGGUACUGACGCUGAGGCGCGAAAGCGUGGGGAGCAAACAGG
rnacentral:rRNA from 1 species